UCAGUGAUGAAAUUAUGU
rnacentral:snRNA from 1 species